rnacentral:lncRNA from 1 species
GUGUGGAGGCAAAUUUUAGGGGAAAAGCUAUUUUCAAGGGUUGAUUUGACCUAGUUGAGGUAUGUAUCUUGCCUAGCUUUAUGUGGGGGAACUACCCCUUAGGAUUUGGGUUGUUGUGUAUUAAUCAUACUAUGUGUAAAAUGUGUACACAAGGUGACGAGUGUGUAUACGGGUUAUAUGUGGUAUUUUGACCGGUUUAGACUUUUUGACUUUUUUCAUGCAUUUAAUUAAAUUUUUUAUAACAUGUUAUAUCCUUCAUUGUUAAAUUUACUCUCACAUGCUCUAAUUGACAUUGUUAGUGUUUAUUCUAUCCUUUUUUGUUGUAAGUGCUCUCAUAUGCUUUAGUUGAAGUUACUACCUCUCUUCUUGUCUUGUUACUCCUUUAUUAUUAAAUUAUUGAAGUUGUUAUUUCGUGGAAUAUCUUCUUGUUAGGUUAUUGAUGUUGAAGUUAUGGAAGCCAUUAUAACAUUAAGGUUGAAGUUGUAAAUUGUUCAGAUAUCUUUCCUUUGAGUGUCCCUCAUUCAUUUGUUGUUAUUGAGAUUUUUGUACACACUGUGGUUGAGCCAUGGGCUAUUUGUUGUGGUAAUAUUGGUAUUGUUGAUUUUGGCAAGUUGUGGCAUAUGGGCACAUGUAGUGCGAGUUGUUAUUAUGUUGUGGUAUUGAUACGCAUGCGGUGGUACAAGGAUAGGGGUUGAUAUGCAUGCGGUGAGAUAAGGUGAGAUUUAUACGUGUGUUGCUAGUAAGGGAAUUACUUAAAGCCACGUGGUGAGAUAAUGGGGCUAAAAAGUGUGUAGCUAUUUCGGGAAAGGAGUUUUCAAAAAUAAAUGCAAGGCUUAUGCGGUGAUAUAAGUAAAGGUUGUGAUUUUAAAUUGGGAAAUGUGGAAAUGAGGCGGUACCUCGGUUGUGAUUCUUGUUGUGCAUUCUAUGUUAAAGAGGCUUGUUGGUUCAACAGUUUGUUAUCUCUUUAUUUGUCUUACUUGUACUUGUCAUAUUGAUUUCUUGAUGUUCUUAUCAUGUGCUCACUCAUUUUUGCCUUUAUUUCUUUAAAUUCCGUUGUUAGCUUACAUUAUUGAUCUGCUUUAUUGUCAUUUUUUUCCUCCUCGUCCAUUAUUUGCUUGUACUUUACCUUGUUUAGUCUCUUAUCCUAGUAGGUGUCUUGACUUAGUCUCUCACUUCUCUACCGAGGUUAGGCUUGAUUCUUACUGGGUACCAUUGAGGUGUACUCAUACUACGCUUCUGCACAUUUUUGUGCAGAUCCAGGUACUUCACCUCAUGCUAGGCAUCAGUUAUUUGACCAUACAUUUCAAAGACUUCAAGGUAUAGCAGCUUUGCGCUUGCAGGCCUCGGAGUCACCUUUUGUCCUUACUUUUACUACUGUUUACUCUUCAUUUAGAUAGUAUUGUACUAGGGAUUUUCAGUAUAUCUUCAUAGAACUUAUGACUCAGUUCCACCGGUUUUGGGAGUUUUGUUACAGAUGUUUUGUUUGGAGUUAUUGUGAGUUUUAUCGAUUUAUCUUUUUAUCUUAGUUGUUAAUUCUGUUAAGAUAUCAAUAAAUGUUAGGCUUACCUAGUCUUAGAGACUAGGUGCCAUCAAAACAUCCUAAGGUGGGAAAUUGGGGUCGUGACAAGUUGGUGUUAGAGCUCUUGGUUCAUAGGUCCUACGAGUCAUAAGCAAGUCUAGUAGAGUUUUAUGGAUCGGUAUGGAGACAUCUGUACUUAUCUUCGAGAGGUUACAGAACUAUUAGAAAAUUCCACUCCUUUGAUUCUUUAUCGUGCAAAUUUGUUGACUUUGAAAUCUGAAUCUUUAUCUUUCUAUUCUCUCACAGAUGGUGAGGACACACACUACUGGAUCAGAAAAUCAGACACUUACACCUCCUGCUAGAGUCGCGCGAGGUUGGGGCCGGUGUAGAGGCUGAGGAGGGGCAUGUGUUGCAGCCAGAGCACCUGUCCGAGCAGCGACUGAUGAGCCACCAAUAGCUCCAGUUGGGGGACAGUCACCUGAGACACUUGUUGUUGCCCCUGGACUUUAGGAGACCCUAGCAUAGUUUUUGAACAUGUUCGAAACUCUAGCUCAGGCGGGAUUGAUUCCCAUUGCACCAGCCACAUCUCAGGCUAGGGAAGGAGCUCAAACUCCUGUGACUCAUACCCUAGGGCCUGAGGUUCUGGGUCCACAUUGAUUAGGUUCUGGGUGUCAUGCCAGAACAACUCGUUAUACCAGUUCGGCCUGAGGUUAGGCGAGAGGCAUCUAAGGAGGAGUAGAGAAGAAUUGAGAGGUUCAAGAAGUAUGAUCCUCCUAUAUUCAAUGGCACAGCUAGCGACGUUGCUUUGGGUUUUCUAGAGAGGUGUCAUUGUAUUCUCCGCACCGUGGGCAUUGUGGAGAUGAGUGGAGUUGCUUUUACUAUAUUUUAGUUGUUAGGAGCAGUGUAUUGGUGGUGACAAUCUUAUGAGGAGGGUAGGCCAGCUGAUGCAGACCCACUGGCUUGGGAUCAGUUUUCAGAGAUAUUUUUGAGAGAGUUUGUUCCCCUAAUCCUUCGUGAUGAAUGGCGCACAGAGUUUGAGCAGCUGCUUCAGGGGACUAUCAGAGCAUGCUAUCAGGUUCAGUGAGUUUUCUCGACAUGCACCUACCUUGGUUUCUACAGUUAGAGAGCAACUCCGCAGAUUUAUCGAGGUGCUCAACUAUGGUCUUAGAUUCAAUAUGGCUCGAGAGUUGGAGACGGAUACACUGUAUCACAGGUGUUAGAGAUUACACAUAGGUUGGAAGGUAUGCGAGGUCGUGAGAGAGAGGACAGGGAGGCUAUGAGGCCUCGCGAUUCAGGAGGAUAUAGUGGUGCCCGCACUCUAGUUGCAAAUCGUCAUGGCAGAGGCUAUGUGCGCCACCCAUUUUAUUUAGCACUUCUAGCUACUAGCAGUGCUCCUGCUAUUCCAAGGUCCCAAGUUGCCUAUUUUGCUCAGUUACUUUCUAAUGCACCUCUUGAAUGGGAUGCCUUCAGUGGUGAGUCUAGCCGACCAGGCCAAGGUUAGUUUCAGUAGCCACACCCACCGAGAGCGUUUUUUGAGUGUUGUGAUACCAAACAUUGGUGAGGGACUACCCCAGACUUUGGAGGGGUGUAUCUCCACAGACUACAUAGUUUCCACGGAUUCCACAGGGCCUACAAGGUUCGCAGGUCAUAGUUGUUGCUCAAGUUGCCAUUCCACCUGCCCUACAAGCUAGGGGUGAAGGUCAGGCGGGUAAAGGUUGCCCUAGAGGGGGAGGCCAGGCUCGUUUCUAUGCUUUUAUCGAUAGAUCAGAGGUGGUUGCAUCGGAUGUUGUCAUCACACGUAUGGUUUUGGUUUGUCAUAGGGAUGCCUCAGUCUUAUUUGAUCCGGGAUCCGCUUAUCCGUAUGUGUCAUCUUACUUUGCUCCAUAUUUCUCAUGAUUCUUUGAGUUCUCCUAUAUAUGAGUCUAUGCAUAUGGGAGAUUCUAUGGUUGUGGACCGUGUUUAUCGAUCAUGCUUAUUCGAUGUAGGUGGUUUUGAGACCAGAGUUGAUUUAUUAUUACUCAAUAUGGUAGUCUUUGAUAUGAUCUUGUGCAUGGAUUUGUUUUCACCCUAUCAUGCUAUUUUGGAUUGCCACGCCAAGACCGUGACAUUAGCUAUGCCAGGUUUGCCGCGGUUGGAGUGGAGGGGCAUAUUGGAUUAUAUUCCUAGCAAGGUUGUGUCAUUCCUUAAGGAACAGCGGAUGGUUGAGAAGGGUUGUAAAGCAUAUCUAUCCUUUGUAAGGGAUGUUAGUGCUGAUACUCCUACCAUUUAGUCGGUUCCGGUAGUGAGGGAUUUCCCAGAUGUGUUCCCAGCAGACCUUCCGGACAUGCCACGUGAUAGAGCUAUCGAUUUUUGUAUUGACCUAGUGUCGGACACUCAGCCCAUUUUUAUUCCAUCAUAUCGUAUGGCACCAACGGAGUUGAAGGAGUUAAAGGAACAACUAUAAGAGUUUCUUGAUAAGGGUUUCAUUUGGCCUAGUGUUUCACCUUGGGUGUUCCAACUCUGUUUGUGAAUAAGAAGGAUGGUACUAUGCGGAUGUGUAUUGGUUAUAGACAGUUGAACAAGGUUACAGUGAAGAACAAAUACUCACUACCAUGCAUUGAUGACUUAUUUGCCCGGCUUCAGGGUGCCACUGUUCUCGAAGAUUGAUUUGCAAUCAGGGUAUCAUCAGCUGAAGAUUAAGGAUUCGGAUAUUCCGAAGACUGCUUUCAGGACUCGGUAUGGUCACUACAAGUUCCUCGUGAUGUCAUUUGGGCCGACCAAUGCCCCAACAACAUUUAUGCACCUGAUAAACAGUGUAUUCCAGCCAUAUCUUGACUCAUUCAUCAUUGUGUUUAUUGACAACAUCUUAGUAUAUUCUCACAACUGAGAAGACCAUGAGCAGUAUCUAAGGAUCCUGCCCCAGACCUUGAGGAAGAAGAAGUUAUAAGCAAAACUCUCUAAGUGUGAAUUCUGGCUUGAUUCGGUGGCAUUUUUGGGUCAUAUGGUGUCUAGUGAGGGGAUCAAAGUAGAUCCAAAGAAGAUUGAGGCAGUUCAGAGUUGGCCUAAACCAUCUUCAUCUACUGAGAUUCAGAGAUUCCUUGGUUUGGCUGGACAUUUUCGCCAUUUUGUAGAGGGUUUCUCAUCAAUUUUUGCACCUUUAACCAGAUUGACCCAGAAGGCUGCUCCUUUCAGAUGGUCUGAGGAGUAUGAGGCGAGCUUUCAAAAGUUCAAGACUGCAUUGACUACAGCCCCAAUAUUGGUGUUGCCUACGGGUUUGGGGUCUUACACUGUGUAUUAUGAUGCGUCAUGUAUCAGACUUGGCGCGAUACUGAUGCAAGACGGUAGGGUGAUUGCCUAUGCGUCUCGGCAGUUGAAGGUUCAUGAGAAGAAUUACCCAGUCCAUGACUUGGAAUUGACAACUAUUGUUCACGCAUUGAAGAUUUGGAGGCAUUAUCUGUAGGGUUUCCCAUGUGAGGUCUAUACCGACCACCGGAGUCUCCAACAUCUAUUCAAGGAGAAAGAUCUUAAUUUGCAGCGGCUGAGGUGGUUAGAGUUGCUGAAAGACUAUGAUAUCAUUAUUUUAUAUCAUCCCUGGAAGGAUAAUGUGGUGUUCGAUGCCUUGAGUAGAAAGGAAGAGAGCAUGGGUAGUUUGGCAUACUUAUCGGCCAUAGAGAGGCCACAACCCAUGGAUGUUCACUCUUUGGCCAAUCAGUUUGUGAGACUGGAUGUUUCGGAGCCCAACCAGGUUCUUUCUUGUGUGGUUUCUCGGUCUUCUAUAUAUGAGUGCAUCAUAGAGCGUCAGUAUGAUGACCCCCAUUUGCUUGUCCUUAUGGACACAUUACAGUACGGCGAUGCCAAGGAUGUUUCUAUUAGAGAUGGCAAGGUAUUGCAGAUGCAGGGUCGGAUUUGUGUGCCCAAUGUGGAUGGGGUGAGUGAGUUGAUUCUUGAGGAGGCCCACCGCUUGUGGUAUUCUAUUCAUCCAGGUGUCAUUAAGAUGUAUCAGGAUUUGAGGUAGCAUUAUUGGUGGAGAAGAAUGAAGAAAGAUAUAGUGGAGUUUGUGGCUCGGUGCUUGAACUAUCAGCAGUUGAAGUAUGAGCAUUAGAGGUCGGGCGGUUUGCUUUAGAGACUUGAGAUUCCCAAGUGGAAGUGGGAGCGUAUUACUAAGGAAUUCAUUGUUGGACUCCUACCUACUUUGAAGAAAUUUGAUGCAGUAUGGGUGAUUGUGGAUAGACUGACCAAGUCGGCACAUUUCAAUCCAGUGGUGACCACCUAUUCUUCAGAGCAGCUAGCUCAGAUCCACAUCCAAGAGAUUGUAUGUCUCCAUGGCAUACCAAUGUCCAUAAUCUCCGAUCGAGGUACACAGUUCACGUCACAUUUUUAGAGAGCCGUGCAAGGUGAGCUACGCACACGGGUUGAGUUUAGUACAUCAUUUCACUCCUAGACGGACGGACAGUCUGAGCACACCAUUCAAAUCUUGGAGGAUAUGCUACAAGCUUGCGUUAUGGAUUUCAGGGGUUCUUAGGAUCAAUUCUUGCCGCUUGCAGAAUUUUCCUACAAAAACAUCUACCAAUUGAGUAUUCAGAUGGCUCCUUAUGAGGUUUUAUAUGGGAAGCAAUGUCGUUCUCCAGUUGGUUGGUUUAACCUGGGAGAGGCUAGGUUAUUGGUCACUGAUUUGGUUCGGGAUGCCUUGGAGAAAGUCAAGUUAAUUCCGGAUCGACUUCGUACAACGCAUUCUAGAUAGAAGAAUUAUGCUGAUCGAGGGCUCGUGAUGCAGCAUUUAUGGUGGGAGAGAGGGUUUUGCUUCGGGUUUCACCCAUGAAGGGUGUGCUGAGGUUAGGGAAGAAGUGCAAGUUGAGUCCUAGGUAUAUUGGCCGUUGGAGAUCCUUGAGAGAGUUGGUGAGGUGGACUACAAGCUUGCAUUGCCACCCAAUUUAUCGACAGUUCAUCCGGUGUUCCAUGUUUCCUUGCUCGGGAAGUAUUAUGGUGAUCUGUCCUAUGUAUUAGAUUUUAUCUCAGUCCAAUUGGACAAGGAUUUGACUUAUAUUGAGGAGCCGGUGGCCAUCUUGGACCGACGGGUCUGAAAAAUAAGGUCAAAGAACAUUGCUUCGGUAAAGGUUCAAUGGAGGGGUCAUAUGCUCGAGGAGGUGACCUGGGAGACCAUGCACGACAUGCGGAGUUAUUAUCCUCUCCUUUUCACCACUUCAGGUAUGUCACUAUGCACUUUCAAGGACGGACAUUUGUUGUAAGAGGAGGAGAAUGUAAUAACCCGGCCAGUGGUUUUGAUUAUUGAGCCCCAUUUCCCCUUUUGGUGCUUCACACGUGCAUUUGUGGUUUUAUCACUUGCGGGGUUGGUUAAUUUCGUUCCGGGAAGAUUUUAGGUUUAUUUGGACCUUUGGUUCUUGGCUUAGAAGUCUAAGUUAGAAAUAUUGACAAAAGGUUAGCUUUUGUGAAAACAACCCUGGACCGGUGUUUUGAUGGUUCCAAUAUAUUUGUAUCAUGAUUUGGGACUUGGGCGUAUGCCCGGAAUCGAAUUCGGAGGUCCGUAGGUUGAUUUGUUUUAUUUUCCUGAAAAAUUGGCAAUUUGAGGUUUUGAAGAAUUUCUAAGUUUGACCAUAGGUUGACUUUUGGCUAUGAGGUUCGGAAUUCGGUUUUGGGACUUGGAAUAGGUCUGUUAUGCUAUUUAGAUAUUGUCUGCAAUAUUUGGUGUCAUUUGGAUUUGGUUUGAUAUGAUUCGGACACUUAGUUGCAAUUCUAGAGAUUUUUGAACGUUUCUUUGAAAUUCAUGCAUUUUGAUGUUUGAUUCGUAGUUCUAGAUGUUAUUUGUAUGUUUUGAUCGUGCGAGCGAAUUCGUAUGAUGUUUUUAUACUCUUUUGGAUGUUUAGUAUGGAGCCCCAAGGGGGCUCGGAUGAGUUUCGAACCUAUUUCAUAAAGGUUUGGACAGAAACAAGAUUUUCUGGUGUGUUGGUGCUCUGAUGUUGCAAUUGCGAGCACCAGCCUCAUAAUUGUGAAGUGGGCAGGGGAGCUCAGAUGUCGCAAAUGCGGCUUUCCCUUCACAUUUGCGAAUACAGUACAUGCUUGGGUUAGGUCUCAUUUGCGACCAAUUGGUCGCUUUUGCGAAGAAAGUCAGCUUUUCAAUUGCGAAGCCUUUGUCGCAAUUGCGAUAUCUAAAGAGGCUGCCAGGGUUUGCAAUUGCGAUCCCUAUUUCAAAAUUACGAAGGUUUGCAAACACGAACUCAAGGUCGCAUUGCUAUAUCAGCAGCUGAUCAAAACGGUUGGGAGUCAAGAUUUAGGUCUCAUUUUUCAUAUCUUAGAACCCUAAACUCGGUAAGUGGCGAUUUGGAGAGAGAAUUUUCAUCUCAAAAUAUUAGGUAAGUGAUUCUAAGCACUUUCCAACUAUAUUUCAUGAUUAUAUCAUAAAUUUAACAUCAAAUUUAUGAAAAUCAAAGAGGAAAAUUAAGGAUUUUUAUCAAAGCUUUGAAAAAUGAAGAUUUGAAUUUUGAGAGUCGAUUAAAAGAGGCUUGUUGGUUGAACAGUUCGUUAUCUCUUUAUGUGUUUUACUUGUAUUUGUCCGUAUUGAUUUCUUGAUGUUCUUAUCAUGUGUUCACUCUUUGUUGCAUUUAUUGCUUUAAAUUCUGUUGUUAUCUUACACUAUUGAACUAUUUUAUUGUCAUUUAUUUCCUCGUCUUCCAUUAUUUUCUUGUACUUUACCUUGUUCGGUCUCUCUUAUCCUAGUAGGUGUCUUGACCUGACCUCGUCACUACUCUACUAAGGUUAGGCUUGAUACUUACUAGGUACCAUUAUGGUGUACUCAUACUAUACUUUUGCAUAUUUUUGUGCAGAUCCAUGUACUUCGGCUCAGGCUAGGAAUCAUCGAUUUGACCAUAUAUUUCGGAGAUUUCAAGAUAUAACUGCUUGGUGCUUGCAGGCCUCAGAGUCACCUUCUGUCCUUACUUUUACUACUAUUUGCUUUUCAUUUAGACGGUGUUGUACUAGGGAUUUUCAGUAUAUUUCUGUACAACUUAUGACUCAGUUCCACCGGUUUUAUGAAUUUUGUUACAGAUAUUCUGUUUUGGAGUAAUUAUGAGUUUUAUCGAUUUAUCUUAUUAUCUUAGUUUCUAAUGUGGGAAAUUGGGUCA